GUGGGGAAUUUUGGACAAUGGGGCAACCCUGAUCCAGCAAUGCCGCGUGCAGGAAGAAGGCCUUCGGGUUGUAAACUGCUUUUGUACGGAACGAAACGGUCUGGGUUAAUACCCUGGGCUAAUGACGGUACCGUAAGAAUAAGCACCGGCUAACUACGUGCCAGCAGCCGCGGUAAUACGUAGGGUGCGAGCGUUAAUCGGAAUUACUGGGCGUAAAGCGUGCGCAGGCGGUUUUGUAAGACAGGCGUGAAAUCCCCGGGCUCAACCUGGGAAUGGCGCUUGUGACUGCAAAGCUGGAGUGCGGCAGAGGGGGAUGGAAUUCCGCGUGUAGCAGUGAAAUGCGUAGAUAUGCGGAGGAACACCGAUGGCGAAGGCAAUCCCCUGGGCCUGCACUGACGCUCAUGCACGAAAGCGUGGGGAGCAAACAGGAUUAGAAACCCUUGUAGUCC
rnacentral:rRNA from 1 species